rnacentral:rRNA from 1 species
AUUGAACGCUGGCGGCAUGCUUUACACAUGCAAGUCGAACGGUAACAGGCCGCAAGGUGCUGACGAGUGGCGCACGGGUGAGUAAUGCAUCGGAACGUGCACAGUCGUGGGGGAUAACUACUCGAAAGAGUAGCUAAUACCGCAUACGAUCUAUGGAUGAAAGCGGGGGACCGUAAGGCCUCGCGCGAUUGGAGCGGCCGAUGUCAGAUUAGGUAGUUGGUGGGGUAAAGGCUCACCAAGCCAACGAUCUGUAGCUGGUCUGAGAGGACGACCAGCCACACUGGGACUGAGACACGGCCCAGACUCCUACGGGAGGCAGCAGUGGGGAAUUUUGGACAAUGGGCGCAAGCCUGAUCCAGCAAUGCCGCGUGCAGGAAGAAGGCCUUCGGGUUGUAAACUGCUUUUGUACGGAACGAAACGGCUCUGGUUAAUACCCGGGGCUAAUGACGGUACCGUAAGAAUAAGCACCGGCUAACUACGU